rnacentral:rRNA from 1 species
UACGUAGGGGGCAAGCGUUGUCCGGAAUCAUUGGGCGUAAAGCGCGUGUAGGCGGCCAGAAAAGUCCGCUGUGAAAACUCGAGGCUCAACUUCGAGCUGUCGGUGGAAACUUUCUGGCUAGAGUCCGGAAGAGGAGAAUGGAAUUCCUGGUGUAGCGGUGAAAUGCGCAGAUAUCAGGAAGAACACCCGUGGCGAAGGCGACCACCUGGACUGAUACUGACACUGAGGUGCGAAAGCGUGGGGAGCAAACAGG